rnacentral:rRNA from 1 species
AGAGGAGCUUGCUCUUCUAGAGACCGGCGCACGGGUGCGUAACGCGUAUGCAACCUACCUUAAUCUGGGGGAUAGCCCGAAGAAAUUCGGAUUAACACCGCAUAAAAUCACAGAACGGCAUCGUUUAAUGAUCAAAUAUUUAUAGGAUUAAGAUGGGCAUGCGUGACAUUAGUUAGUUGGUGAGGUAACGGCUCACCAAGACUACGAUGUCUAGGGGAUCUGAGAGGAUGACCCCCACACUGGUACUGAGACACGGACCAGACUCCUACGGGAGGCAGCAGUAAGGAAUAUUGGUCAAUGGAGGCAACUCUGAACCAGCCAUGCCGCGUGCAGGAAGACGGCCCUACGGGUUGUAAACUGCUUUUGUCGGGGAAUAAACCUCUUUACGUGUAAAGAGUUGAAUGUACUCGAAGAAUAAGGAUCGGCUAACUCCGUGCCAGCAGCCGCGGUAAUACGGAGGAUCCAAGCGUUAUCCGGAUUUAUUGGGUUUAAAGGGUGCGUAGGCGGCCUAUUAAGUCAGGGGUGAAAGACGGUGGCUCAACCAUCGCAGUGCCUUUGAUACUGAUAGGCUUGAAUGAACUUGAGGUAGGCGGAAUGUGACAAGUAGCGGUGAAAUGCAUAGAUAUGUCACAGAACACCAAUUGCGAAGGCAGCUUACUAAGGUUUAAUUGACGCUGAGGCACGAAAGCGUGGGGAUCAAACAGGAUUAGAUACCCUGGUAGUCCACGCCCUAAACGAUGAACACUCGAUGUUAGCGAUAUACCGUUAGCGUCUAAGCGAAAGCGUUAAGUGUUCCACCUGGGGAGUACGCCCGCAAGGGUGAAACUCAAAGGAAUUGACGGGGGCCCGCACAAGCGGAGGAGCAUGUGGUUUAAUUCGAUGAUACGCGAG